UUUUUUUAAAACUUUGCACAGUAUACAUUCAUCUUAUAAUUUAUACAUACCAGUGAAGAUUAGGAUUAUGCUUGAAGGAGCUUGUUGAGGAGCGGAUGUGAGGGAGGACGGUAAAAAGCUUAGGGAUCAGGAGAGGGCUUGAUAUAAAGGCUGACAGCAACAAGCUGACACUCAGACCACUGGAGCUCUGCUCAUUUUAAAGCACACUUCCUCAAGCAACUAACCAACGCUGACACAGCACGGGACAGAGCAAAAUGAGCAUGCGUGGAGCAGUGGCUGGUUGCGUGGUGCUGGUGUGCCUGAUGGCGCUGCUGGUUCAGAGGACGGAGGGACACAUCACGUUCUUUAGCCCAAAAGAGUUGAUGCUGAUGAAGGAGCGAGAAGGGAGAAAGGACAUGGAGCCUCGAUCAGAGGAUGGCCAGUUUGAAGAAGUCACCGUCCAACAGGUUCCCCAGACAGAACGUGGUGGAAAUCCCGAGAAGAUCGUGGAGAAUUCUGUCCGUCUUUCACCAAAACAGCUGGAUCACGUGACUCCAGUGCUCGAAGAGAUCAUCCAUGAAAUAACCCAGGAGUGUCAGAAAGCAAAGUAACAAGGCUGAUAGCAUGAGGGGAUGAAUGCUGUAUAAAUUCUUCAAAAAGCACAGAAUGCUUUAAAGUUUUAUUGUGUCUUACUGAAUUAAUCAAUAAAGGGAAGUGAUUGUGUCACUCAUUCCAGUUUGCGCUGUAAU
ensembl:lncRNA